AUUGAACGCUGGCGGCAUGCUUUACACAUGCAAAUCGAACGGCAGCACGGGGGCAACCCUGGUGGCGAGUGGCGAACGGGUGAGUAAUGCAUCGGAACGUAUCUUCGAGUGGGGGAGUAACGCACCGAAAGGUGUGCUAAUACCGCAUAAUCUCUAUGGAGAAAAGCAGGGGAUCGCAAGACCUUGCGCUCUUUGAGCGGCCGAUGUCUGAUUAGCUAGUUGGUGAGGUAAAGGCUUACCAAGGCGACGAUCAGUAGCUGGUCUGAGGAGGACGACCAGCCACACUGGGACUGAGACACGG
rnacentral:rRNA from 1 species